rnacentral:rRNA from 1 species
GACAGAGGGUGCAAACGUUGUUCGGAAUUACUGGGCGUAAAGCGAGUGUAGGCGGUUCGAUAAGUCGGAUGUGAAAGCCCCGGGCUCAACCCGGGAAGUGCACUCGAUACUGUCGAGCUAGAGUAUCGGAGAGGUUGGUGGAAUUCUCGGUGUAGAGGUGAAAUUCGUAGAUAUCGAGAGGAACACCGGUGGCGAAGGCGGACCAC